UGAUGUAUACAAAAUGAAUUCAAUCAAUUUCAGUUUACUAUUCUAGUUGUUACAAUAAGUUAUCAAACAAUAUUUAUAUUAUGUAUAGUAGUAAAAUAAAUAAUCUUAGAAAGUUGAAACUAUCUGUUUUCAAUAUUAUACUUAUAAUAAGUCAAUUUUAACUCGCGCAAAUUCGGUUGACAGGCACGACGUGGUCACUGUGAAGACAACCGUCAGUCGUCGAAACACAACGCGAUAACGCCAUGACGAUGGCGCACCGGUUCCGGAAUUUUCGUUUUCAUCCACCUAAAACUUUCAACUUGAACCUACCUUAUACCGUGGCUAAAUAGACUAUUUAGGCAUGCUUAAUACGUUAUACGAUAUUAAUACACCGUGUGGUAAUAACCGAUCAAUAGUGGAAUGUUAUUUGUAUACAAAUAUAAUAUGUUUUAUUCAUAUAAUAUUUGUUGUAUAAAUGCGUGCAUCAACAUGAAUAGCUCAGUAAAUGAAUUUGAUGAAAAGAAAGUGAAAUAUUGCAGAUUUAACAAGUAAUAAUUAUUCAUCUCAAAACAAAACAACUACAUCUCUUCCGAGAAGAUUUCCAGAAUUUCAUUACAAUUAACAGUCGAUGAAUUUGCUUCUAGAAUGGAAUUUAGAAUCCGUAUACACAUCUUAUAUAGAUAUACUGUUAUACUAAUUUACACUGAACAAGGAACCUGUAAUAUUGAACAAGUUCCUAUUAUUCAAAACAUUGCUGGUCGAAAAGAUGCUAUAUCAAAAAACACAAUAUUUCAAUAAUCUUAAUGAGGUUGAUAUUGAUAUCCAAAGUAUAUAUACAGGCAAUUCUAAUUUAAAUUCAAUUUUUGAAAAAUCAUUCAAUAUUACGCUUCACGAUUUGUCGCCAGAUUAAAAAAUUUGGUUAUAAUAUAUUUUUUACAUAGUGUAUUCACUCCUUUGUCAAAAAAUCAACUCAUGAUGAAUAUUGAAUAUGGUAGAAAAGGUUUUACCAAAUACAUUGUGCAAGAAUUAAUUAAUCAUGAAUUUUUUAUUGUGACACUAACUUCUGUGAACAUUGAAUCUAUACAAUAAGGUAGAUAUUGACUUUAACAGAAUAUACUGUAAAAAUUGAAGAAGUGUUUCUAAAACGCAUUAAAAUAUUGAAUGAACGGAUAAAUAAUUCAACACACGAGAUUUAACCAAUAAUUCAAAAUAUCUGAUAGUUAUGUACACGAUACAUAGUCUGCUAAUUCCUUGACCAAGAAAAUUAAAAUGAGAAGAGAAUUGAAAAAAAUACUAUGUAAAAUAUGGAAUCAAUGAUUCCUAAAAUUCAAUCAUAAAAUCUAAUGAAACACGAUUGGAUAUGGAAGCACUUUAAAAAUAAACGGCACAGAAAGAGGAUUCCAUCCAUAGAUAAUAUUUUAAGAAUGGAUAGGCCACCGGAACUUAAAACCCCUUGCUGGAGUGAGAGCACUAUAUAAAAGCAGUCUCUCUCUCUCAUCCAUAUUCCGGACCGCGACCCCUUAUUUUGUUAAAAAAGGAAUGGCCUAUCCAUUCUUAUAUUAUCUAUAGUCCUAUCCAGCCAUAUAUAUUGAUUGUUGGUACAUUAUUUUAUGCAUAACAAAUUUUGAUAUAUUUUAAUGCAGUCAAAUAUUAUAUAACUUACAAUUUAAAAAAUACUUUACGUAUUUUUGGAAAUGUUCCAUAUUUUUAAUGUCAAAUAUUUGCUGGAAUCUGAGAGUAUGUGUGGAUUAUGUUACAAACAUUCUUUUUAAUAUUCAUACAACGUAUGACAAGUCAUAUACCUACCUUCACUAAACAAAUUUCUUUAGAAAUUAGGGGCUAAGGUAUAAUAGAUUUGUUUUUAUUUCACUAUAUGUUUUCAUUAUACCUACUUACUUUCUAUAAUAGUAUAAAAUUUACUUUUUUUAAUAACUAUUCAUGUUUAUAUAGUAUUUUACUUUGUUCUAUAAUGUAGUUACAAAUAUUUUAUAGUUAGGUAUUAACUAUUUUUAUUUAGUUCCAACCUAAUUGUAUUUUUAACAUAGGUACCUAUACUUAUUUUUUUCUAAUUGUUAAAUGUAUUAUUAUAAAUUUAACAUGUAUAAUAGCAAUAGAUAGUCUAAUUUGAAUAUAAUUAUUUUUGCUAUUAAAAAUUCCCCUCCACCCACAAAUGUAUAUCUGUAACACAGCUAUGCAUCUAAUAUAUUAUAUUAGAAUAUAACAAUUACUUACCUACAAAUUUUUAUUUCUAAAAAUUCUGUAUUUUUAACUUUACUCUAUUAAUAUAUUAUUUAAAAAAAAUUGUAUACCUAUUAUGAUAAAAAUAUUUUUAUAGUUAAAUCUGAUUAUGUAAAUUAUCAAUAAACGAAAUCAUUAAAACGUGA